ensembl:lncRNA
CCGUCCCUGAAAAAGCGCUUUGUAAAAGCUGGUUUGUACAUCCCGGGUCCCGUAGGCACCUCUAUCUACCCCUCACCACUGGAUGUCGCCCUCUUUCGUUUGUGAGAAACAAUUACGAGAAUGGACGAUGAGAGACUGGUCGUCGAGGUGGAAAAAUAUGUCGAAUUGUAUGACCAAAGUACCCGUCAUUACAAAGACAACUCCAAAAAGGUCUUGCCUGGCGAGCCAUAGCUCUGGAGAUUGGAUCUUCAGGUGAGAAAUCAACAAUGGUGGACUAAGUACUAAGUACCCAAACCAUUUGACAAUAAUGGGAAAUAGACGAAAUCAAGUCACAUAUAAUCACACCAUAUGUAUGUAUCUAGUAUACCUACUAUUUGAAAUUUGAAAUAAGUUGCAUGUAAUUAUAACUAUUAUUAAAAGUGUCUGCUAUCGUGGAUAAAUACGUUAGCUUAAGGCAGUGGCGUCCCUAUGCUGUUUUAUUCGGGGAUAAAGCCUCGGAUGUUAUUUAAUUAGCGUGUGUGUGUGUGUGUGUGUGUGUGUGUUGUGUGUGUGUGUGUGUGUGUGUGUGUGUGUGUGUGUGUGUGUGUGUGUGUGUGUGUGUGUGUGUGUGUGGGGGGGGUCUAGUUUGUAUCUAUAUUAAGUUAAUCUUUCGUGUGUGUCUAUUUGGUGUGUUUAUCUUUAUGGUGUGUAUCUAUAUGGUGUGUAACUAUGGAGUUUGCGUAUCUAUAUGGUGUAUACCUAUGGUGUGUGCGUGUAUAUAUGGUUUGUAUCUGUCGUUUGUGUGUGCAUAUGGUUUGUAUCUAUGUGUUGUGUGUAUUGUGGCAUCCCGCCACCUAAACCUCGGCCCGGACCAGCCCAAGGGUUGGUCCUGGAUGGCUGUUACCACCGUCACCCACCAGCCGGCGACGGAGAGCACCGACCGAACCCCAAUCAGCGAGAUUGGGGGACACCUGGCCGAAAGCCGAGGAGCCACCUUAAAAGGAGCACGAGGACUGACAUUGAGGCAGACCAGGAACGGGAGUGAGGAAGGAGGAAGCGCUCGGGUCCGCGAGCAGCUGGAGGCCCACGGAGGCCCUAGAGACUGUCUUUCAUGGAUAUUUAACUGCAGUUCUGUGAGUAUCCCAACUUGACCAUGAAGCAUAACUGCAAACUGUAAGUCAUUAAUUCCUUAUUACUCCUGGGCACAUUGAUGUAUUUUGGCUUCCUGGUGAGUUAACCUGUUACCUGAAGGUUGAUCUGAGUAGAAAGGAUGUUUUAUUGGUUCAUGGGUUACUUAGGUGUUUGGUUUAUGUUGGUUUUAAUGAUUUGUUAAAAUGGUUACAGGCUCCAAGUUAUUGUUGUAAGCUGGAGUAAUGGGUUGGGUUCUGAUAUCUUCAGUCUUUCAUUCUACUCUCCUGAGCUCUGCAUCUUCAUCACAUGAGUGUUGCUUUACUGAUGAGGGUUUGGUCUGAGUGAGCAGAGGUGCAUACUGGGUUACAGAGCUGUCUUGAGUCUACAGGUCUGUAGACACGCCCCCUCAGGGGAAACCGAGUGUUUGAGAAACUGUCGUGUCGUCAGUUACAUGGACUGGAAUGUUCUUAAAGAUGGAGACAGGGAUUCAGAAGGAGAAACACCAGGGGGAGAUGAGGGGGCUCCUCAUCUCAACGACUAAAACACAACUUCAGUCUGACACAGAGAACCAUGGAACACAUUCAACAGUCCUCCAGGCAUCGUGACUCCUCAGGAACAGUUUCAUUUCCAAGAAGGUCUUAUUUGGGGCCAUCCCCAUAUGGAUCCUGCUCCUCAAGAGCCCCCCCCCCUCCACUGGGUGGUCUUCUGAACAGAUGAUCUCCUUCCUGUCCUCAGGCUGACUAAAGCUGCACCGUUUGCAUCUGUGAAGGCCCCUCAUUCAGGAAACCACUGGACUACAAAGACACGACUUCAGAGAUGUUGAAUCAACCUGGGACACAUUUUGGAGACGCCAAGCAUAAUCCAUCACCAAUGUGGGACGCCACUGAAGAAUGUUGUACAUAAUUUACGUCUCUGGAGACAUUGGUUGUUCUGUUAUGGGUGCCCUGGCAGGAGAGCUGGGGGGGGGGGUGAUGGAAUGUUAUUUGCUAUGAGGUUUUUACCCUGCAUGAUUGUUUGGCCUUUUAUGGCUCAGUGGUGUGUGUGUGUGUGUUUGGGUUUGAUAUGAGAUGAAAGAUUUUUGAGCAUCGCUAGGGUUCUACUGUGUGUGUGUGUGUCUCCCACUCACACCUGGCAUUGGGUUCUACGUGCAUGUCCUGGGUUCUAUGUGUGUGUGUGUCCGGCUUGCUUUGACAGUGAUAAUGUUCACACAGGGGUCUGUGUGAUUGGCUUGGGAUAUUGGAAUGGUCAACUAAAUCAAACCUAAAGGAGGGCCACAUGUUUACUUAAGGGCCUCCAGUAGACAUGAAGAGCCCUGAGCGACGCUCCGGAGCGAUAUCCAAAACACUGGGCAGGAAGGAGAGUAUCCAACUCAAGUGUAAAAGGAUGCAACGGCGUGUUCAGAUCAGUGACUUCAAACUAGGACUACACCAAUCAGGAUCAAUGGAGGAUGGACACCAAAAGGAAUUCCACAAGGAGAAUCUGACGUUGGAAAGGGACCUAAAUGGAUAUUCAAGAUGACCUUCAGACCUGUAAUGAGACGGCUCUUCCUACCUGGCUGGAUUGAUGGAUAGCCCUGUGGAUCUUGUCUUGCUCUCAGUUGCACCUCUUCUCAGGCUGAACUGUAAUUGUUUCGGACAGGGCUAGCUGAACGAUUGGUUCCCAUUCACUGGGGCUUCAAGGUGUAAAGAGGAGAAUGUUUCAAAGUGUUCCAUGGUACUCUGAAGACCGCUGUUGUGUUCCACUGGCUGCGAGGAAGAACCCACACAUCUUCCUCUUGGCCUUUCUCCUCUGAGAAUCCUGGCGCCAUCUUGAAGGAUAUUCCAGCUCAUGUAACUGAUGUCACGACAGAUUCUCAAACACUUGGUUUCUCCUGAGGGGCGUGUCUAUAGAACUGAGACUAAGACUUCAGACAGCACUGUAUCCCAGCAUGCAUCUCUCCUCACUCAGACCACACCCCCGUGAGUAGGAUGCAACACUCUAGUGAUGGAGAUGUAGAGUUUUAUAAGUAACAAGGGAGCAGACUAAGGUGAUUAGAACACAAUGGAAUGUCAAGUCUGUAAAUCUUUAAGCCAUUAAGAUGGUUGGAUAGUUCAGGAAUUGUGCUUCUUUUUAUUAUGGGCAGUCCUUUCACUCAGAUGCCCACUUCUCACUGGAGCUGUACAUGUGUUGGCUGGCUGGCAUGAUUUGCUGUUGGUGAUGAGGCGGUCAGGGUGACGUUGCAGGGCUAUGGUCGGCUCUCUGUGAGCUCAAUGUUAAGAUUUGCUCUGUAUGGUUUGUACCCUGAAUAAUCUAGAUAAUUGUAAAAUGUAGACACGGUUUUGUAUUGAAUGAUUCCCGGAUUUUAGGUUUAAAGUUGUUGUGGGACGUACAUGAUGGUUUGGUUUGAUGUUAUAACUUGUACACACUGGGUGCAUAAUAAUGUAAAGGUACACUGAAUAGUAUUAAUGACCAACAGCAACAAACAGAUCUCCUCAAGGUAAGUCUGUUGGCUGUGUUUUAAUGAAGACCAUCGCUGGACUUCAGGAUCUUCCUCCGUUCAGCUCAAGGUGAGGCGCUGGUUAUGUUUUUUCUUUGGUUGGUUCCGGCCGGAAUGUUCGGAUUCCAGUCGGACGGUUUGUGCUUCCCGCCGUGGAAGGUUCUGAGUGCGGUCACUCGAUUUAGUCCCAAUGGUUAGCAUAGAACGUUUUAGUCUUGGCAACCAUAAGAAACCACCAGGCAGUUAGUUGGACGGGAGUCCCCUGAGGGAAUCUGGCGGAACAUUCUGGAUUGUAUUUUAGUAACCUCGAGGCGUUGCCAACGGGAAUUGUUGCUCCCUAUCUUAAACAACUAAAGUUUGAUAUUAAAUACAUACUGAGACGUACGUCGUACAAUAUGUUGAUAAUUUCCGAUGGUUGCGCCGUACUUUUAACCACGAUGACGUUGCGGGACUCUCUGCGUUCAAAACCGCGUUCUACUUGCGGGCCCAUUUUUGACAUCAGGGAAGGCUGAAAAUCAUUUCAAGGUGGAAGAUAAUUUGACAUUUCUUCAACGGAACCCAGCACCUGAAUAUGGCUGAGUAUAUUUGAUUUAAUAUCGAUACUGCUUAGUGUUCUUUGUUACUUCAGAUUUUGUACGCUCUAAAUAUCUGCUGUCAUUAAUUGCAACAGAAGUUAAACCCUGCCCAAUGGAAUGACGUUAAACAACGAACUUGGUGCAGACUUACCAACUGGAUAAUAUCAAAGCUAAAAUAAUGGCCGUCAUUCCCACAUGUUACAAUAGAAGAAACUCUAGAACUGUUCAAGAUUAAAAAGGUAACAUGUAGUUUGUCCCAAGGUCUCUGCCUCCUCACCCAGAGCAAGACCUCCACCUCCUCACCCAGAGCCAGACCUCCACCUCCUCACCCAGUGCCAGACCUCCACCUCCUCACCCAGAGCCAGACCUCCACCUCCUGUCAGAAGUCCUCCAGAACAGGCGAGGCUGAGAGGCUGAGGACCGGAGGCUUGUGGUGCCAGGAUGGACCGGAGACUGAGGCUGGAGACCAGGGGCCUGCAGCACCGGACCAGAGGGUAACCAUCACCAAGCUCAUCUGAAACACUAAAAUCCACGACCAGGAAUCCAUGGCUGAAGGAGGAGCUGAGACGCUGGAGGACGACUAGGAAUCGACCAACAUGGAUUCCUCAACGUGUUUCUGGAGCGGAGGCGAGCUGGCAGGGGAGCCGUGAAUCUGGAGGAUGACCAUCAAUCUACCAACAAGGAUUACCAAGACUCUGGCUGAGGAGAGCUGAUGGAGGAGCCAAGACUCUGGAGGACGACAUCACUCCACCAACGAGGAUCCUCACCAGGAAUCUGGAGGACUGAUGGAGAAGCCGUACAUCUGGAAGGCAAAUCCUGAGGACCACCAUGACCAUCAAGGAUUCCUCAUAAAUGUGCAUUAUCUGGACAUAGUGGACUAGACACACCUGAGCUGAACCUCACCUGAUCCUGUUUGGUCGGGGGUAGACACACCUGAGCUAAACCCGCCCUGAUCCUGACAUCCUGCUGGUCCCGUCUCCUCAGUUCAUCUGAGCCUCGUCCUCCACAAGACCUGCUGAGCUCUGAGGCUGAUGGAUCAAUGACCUCCAGUGGGAGUGAUCUUCUUGACCCCACAUGUAACUGUGUGCUUCCACACGCCUUUCCCUCACGUCUGUCACUAACCUCACUACUUCAGUACUCUCUACUGCUUCCUCUUUUCUUCCUUCUCUGUGGUUCAAACCUUUACACUGAAGGCGCGUCUUCCUGCCCUCAGAGGGUUUAAUGUUAGGGUUGAGAGUCAGGGUUUAGAGUUAGGGACAGAGCUGGUCAGGGAGGACUGCUUUUACACACACCUCUUCACUUGCUUUCGGACUGGUGGUGACAUUUUGAAAAGAUUCAUUUGGGAAAAUGUUUUCCUCUGCUUUCCUUUACAAAUUGUAUUCAACUUCUGUCAAGUGUUUUUGUUUAUAUAUUAAAAUCCCACAUUGACUUCUA